CUAAAUUUGGGUCUUUAUGUUUGUGAAGUGGGCACUUUGCCAGAUCAACCAUCUCUCCAGCCCUCCACUCUAUCUUUUGAGACAGGGUCUUUCACCAAAUCUAGAGCUCUUCUGUUAGUCCGGGCCAGUAAACUCCAGGGAUGUAUCUGCCUGUCUCUGCUUCUCCAGCAUCCAGCAUCCUGUGGGUCCUGUGUUUGCAAUCAGGACUUCCUGUUUAUGUGACACUUACUUUCCUAACUGAGCCAUCUCUGCAGCCCAGCACCUGAUGUCUUAACCCUUUCCUGUCCAGAUUCUGAUAUGUUGUCCAUUUGUUCCUGUGCAGGGACCUCAUUGAAAACACUGAGAAUGUUGAACCUGAAGGGCAAUAUAUGGACCUCAAAGUGAACACCAAGGAUAACAACAUCGUGUAUGCCUCCAUUGCCCGCUCAAGCCCAACCUCCCCAGGAACACCACCCUGCCAGCCCGUCCUUGGGAACCCCCAUGAAGAGAAUGUGUACUCCAUCGUAAAGACCAAAUGAGUGGGUCUGGGUGACGAUCUCAGAGUCAACUGUGUUUCUAGUAUGAAGACUCCCAGCUUCCACUGAUACCCAUAACCAGAGACAACAACUCAUGGGUCACUGAUACCCAUGGCCAGAGACAGAAAUCCACAUGUCAGGGCGUUUGAGCUCAGAGAAAAAUAGAAAUUCCCAGUUUGCUUUUCUAAUUUCCUAGACUUUUCUUACAACAAUAAUAAAAAUCCACAGAAUUUGCCUAAAUGAAUCUAAUUAAGAGUCACUUGUGUGACCCUUAACUUCUGGCCCUCUAAGAUUCCCUCCUCUAUCACUUUUUUCUAGCUGCCCAAGGCAAGGGAUGCCCCAGUGAUGGCAGCCACUCUACAAGAUGUACACCCACAUCUGGGAGGGUAAUAACCAGUACACAGUGACUGGUUCCCAUGGACCACCACACUGGACAUCAGCAGCAACCCUAGAUGGAUGGUGUGAGACAGGGAACUAAACACCAGAUGGUCACAAUGCUUUCCUAAGGCCGUGACCCUCCCAGGAAGUUAGGGUGCCAGGACUCACAGAGAUGUUUUUCUGAAGGUUCCCCAGGCCUGGGUCCUGCUGCUGUCCCCAGCCUCCUAUACCCUCCAGAGAGGGCAGUUUGCCAUAGGGACAUAAAAGGAUGCACAGCCUAAGCAGUGGACCCAGAGCCCUGCUUUAUUACCCAUGAUGCACAGCUCUAACCUGAAGCCUAGAGCAAGUCACCAACCUGCUCAGGAUCACUGAGAGGCAGUCAGCAGUAGAAGGACCAGAGCAAACUACUCCUCAAAGAGGCCCGCCAGGAACUCUUCUGAGCCAUCCCUCUGCUGCGACUCCCCUCUCUCCUCUGCCUCUCCAAUGUCUUCCAUGAGUUGCUCCAAGUCCAGGUCACUGGAACCAUGAUCUUCAGGGGGGAAACUUGCUGUCUCCUGUGUCAGGGGCUCCUGAGGCCCAGGACCUUCCUUUCCCAGUGGACAAGCCCCGUGUGGAGCUGGUGGAGCAGGGCACUUGAUACAAUUUUAAUUUCCUUCUCCUCAGGUAAGUUGGUGCUGAGGCCUUGUUUUCAGGAGCCUUAAUUU